GACGAACGCUGGCGGCGUGCCUAAUACAUGCAAGUAGAACGCAGUUGCGAACGGGUGAGUAACGCGUAGGUAACUGCCUCAUAGCGGGGGAUAAAUUUUGGAAACGGUAGCUAAUACCGCAUACUUUUAGAUGGACCUGCGUUGUAUUGGCUAGUUGGUAAGGUAAAGGCCCACCAAGGCGACGAUACAUAGCCGAGCUGAGAGGGUGAUCGGCCAAACUGGGACUUGGACACGGCGCAGACUUCCUAGGGAGGCAGCAGUAGGGAAUCUUUGGCAAUGGACGGAAGUCUGACCGCGCAACGCCGCGUGAGUGAAGAAGGUUUUCGGAGCGGAAAGCUCUGUUGUGAGAGAAGCGUUACCUAACCAGAAAGCGCCGGCUAACUACGUGCCAGCAGCCGCGGUAAUUC
rnacentral:rRNA from 1 species